ACUGAAUGAGAUUAGAGACACACAGGUAUUGCAGGUACAGGAUCCCAGACUCGGAAUCUGGCUUCUGGACCGAAGAGAUUUGGGGCAUUGAACAAACCCCUUCAACUUUCUGAGCCUCACUUUCCUCAUCUCUAAAAGUCUGGGGGUAAUGCUUAGUUGGCAGGAUGAUUAUUAACCUCAGAAGAGAUCAGAUUACAAGUGUCUGGCACAGUGUUGUUUAGUUAGGAUGCAUGUGGCUGCCAGAAACAAAAUACUCAACUAAAAGUGACUUCAACGCAAAGGGUUGAUUUUUCUCGAAGAACAGUAACACAGAGGAGGGAUUCCCUGGGUUGGUGCAGGAGCGGAAUGGCAUCGGAGCUCCAGCUCAGUUUCUCUGUGAUUCUCCUGGCUGCAGUAGCUCCAGGCAUCCUGUCCUUCUUCGACAAUGUCCAAAGCAGAAAAAUGGACACAUAUCUUUGCAUGUCUCUCGUCAGGAAAAGUUCAUCCCAGGAGGCCCAGUAACGUUCCUCAGCCUGAAUUGUAUCACAUGACUCUGUCUAGGCUUCAGGCGAAACUGGAAAAGUUUUGGGCACCUAGGCUGAGCAGGACAUUGUCCUGGCCCUGGGAAUACAGCAGAGAAGUGGCUGGAGAAACAGUCCCUGCACUCAUGGAGUUCCCAAUCAACCAAGGAGACAAAAUGUUUAAACAUCAUAUUUAACAAGACAAAGAUAUUCCCUGUAAAAAAGUGAAAUAACACAAGGAAAAAAUUAUUAAGCUGUUAAGCAACAAAGCUGACAGAAUCGAGGAAUCAAAGUUGAAAAGAGAAGGGAAGUGGACAUUUUACAAAUCCACAAACUGGAUAAUCCAUUCCAAAUACAAAAAGAAGCAUCAUUUGUUUCUAAUAAACAGUUUCUAGAUUACAUAUUCUUAUUUAUAAUCUAAUCUUGUUAAAAAUUUUAUUCUACUUACAAAGUCUUAACUUGUCUCCAAGUUUUCUUUUUAUGUUAUUUUGAGAAGUUUUUCUGAAAAGUCUUAUAAAUAAGUAUAUACAUUUUGGUUUUCCCAGACAAAUAAAAGCCAUGGUAACAAGUUUCCUGUAUGUACUUAUUUUUGCUGCAGUUAUGCUCUUUUGGGUUCCUAGACCCAGUUCCAAUGUGUGUGGAGAGUGUGUGUGGAGGAGGAGUUCUCAUGAAACUGGCUUAACACAAGGUUGACAUAAGGGAAGCCAUAUUG
rnacentral:lncRNA from 1 species